rnacentral:rRNA from 1 species
UACGGGGGGGGCAAGCGUUGUUCGGAAUUACUGGGCGUAAAGGGCUCGUAGGCGGCCAACUAAGUCAUACGUGAAAUCCCCCGGCUUAACCGGGGAACUGCGUCUGAUACUGGAUGGCUUGAGUUCGGGAGAGGGAUGCGGAAUUCCAGGUGUAGCGGUGAAAUGCGUAGAUAUCAGGAGGAACACCGGCGGUGUAGACGGCUUUCUGGACCGUAGCUGACGCUGAGACACGAAAGCGUGGGUAGCAAACAGG